GACGAACGCUGGCGGCGUGCUUAACACAUGCAAGUCGAACGGAAAGGCCUGCUUUCCCUUGUGGAUUGCGGGUACUCGAGUGGCGAACGGGUGAGUAACACGUGAGUGAUCUGCCCCCAACUUGGGUAUAAGCCUGGGAAACUGGGUCUAAUUCCCGAUAGGACUGCAGGGUGGUGCCUGUGGUGGAAAACGAUUUUCUAGUGGUUGGGGAUGAGCUCGCGGCCUAUCAGCUUGUUGGUGGGGUAAUGACCUACCAAGGCGGCGACGGGUAGCCGGCCUGAGAGGGUGGACGGCCACAGUGGGACUGGGAUACGGCCCAGACUCCUACGGGAGGCAGCAGUGGGGAAGAUAGGACAAUGGGCGGAAGCCUGAUGCAGCGACGCCGCGUGGGGGAUGACGGCCUUCGGGUGGUAAACUCCUUUCGACCGCGAGGAAGCCACCUGGUUGGAAGGGUGGUGACGGUAGUGGUAGAAGAAGCACCGGCUAACUACGUG
rnacentral:rRNA from 1 species